rnacentral:RNase_P_RNA from 1 species
ACGGAUGGCUGGAUGACCGCGGGUUCUGGGGGCUUAUGCCCACUGGAACGCGAGGAAAGUCCGGACUCCAUUGGACGACAGUGCCGGGUAACGCCCGGCGAGGGUAACCUUAGGGAUAGCGCCACAGAGAACAGACCGCCUUCUAUAUCGGAGGUAAGGGUGAAACGGUGGAGUAAGAGACCACCGCGCAAGCGGCAACGCAAGCGGCACGGCAAGCCCCACUGGGAGCAAUGCCAAAUAGGGGUCUCGUGUGAGGCACAGCGUUCGCUGCGUCAUCAUAGGGAUGUUCAAGCCCGAGAGACCCGGGUUGGCAGCUUGAGCGUGUUGGUAACAAUACGCCUAGAGGAAUGGUCAUCGACGGUGUUCGCACCUGAACAAAAUCCGGCUUAUAGGCCAUCCGUGCAA